AGUGAGAUCUAUCCCUAUGGGGCUUCUCCAGGAGCCAGACAUUGUAGGAAACAUCUCAUACAGUAACACUUGUGGUUUGCUUGACUCACAGGAGUGUUUCUUAGGCCUGUGGGAAGGAAAUACAAGACAAUU
ensembl:snoRNA